CACGCCCUAAACUGUGGAAACUAGGUACAGGGAGUAUCGACCCUUCCUGCGCCGUAGCUAACGCGUUAAGUUUCCCGCCUGGGGACUACGGUCGCAAGACUAAAACUCAAAGGAAUUGACGGGGGCCCGCACAAGCAGCGGAGCGUGUGGUUUAAUUCGAUGCAACACGAAGAACCUUACCAAGGCUUGACAUGCUGGAAGUAGCGAACCGAAAGGGGAGCCAACUGUUAAGUCAGUAGCCUGCACAGGUGC
rnacentral:rRNA from 1 species